CUUGCAUAGCGUUACUAAAGUCCACCAGUAAUAGGUAAAAUUGUUCCCGUGGUAUAUCGAUUGUCUAAUAGAAACGUACAUGCAUCUACUAUUUCAUCUGUUGAUGCUAAUCUACCUAUCGGUACUUUUUUUUCUGCUAUAGCUCGAAUUUGGCUAGAUAGCAUCGGUGUGUCCACAUAACCUGGUGAAAUUGCAUUUACACGAAUUCCCUUAGAAGCAACUUCUGCUGCCAACACUUUAGUAAAGGAUUCUAAACCUGCCUUAGAGGCCGCGUAAACACUUGUUCCGGGUAAUGCAUAAGUGCUAAGCCUAGAUGAUAUAUUUAGAAUUAGUCGAUCUCGUUCGCUAUUUUUGUUUCGAAACCAUUCUAAAAUGGCCAUUUUUGAAAGCUUGAUUGCAGACACUAAAUUUGUACAUAUGAUGCUAUCAAUUUCUUUUUCGCUGGUGCGAACACACAGGCUUGAUUGAAGAACGCCGGCCGCGUGAACCACAGUGUCAAUCUCAACACUUUCAAAUAUACUCUUUAAAUUUUUCAUAUCACUUUGGACAUCUGCAAUCGUCAAUGUAUGUUGCUGUCCUUUAGCUACUGAUAGCGACUGUAAAGUUUCCUUUAAAUGAAAUUCAUUUCUCCCCACUAUAUGACAUUGAUGACCUUUUUGGCUCCAAAUUUGUGCGAUUCUCUUACCUAAUCCACUGCUACCUCCAGUUAUUAGAACUUUUCGCAUUGAAUGAAGGAGUUGGGCGUUGCUGAUGAAUGCUCCCUUCAACGCCUUUGACAGCAAACAGAUACAUCUAUCUACGGCUAUUCAAUAUCAAAAAAGGAUUUACUAGUUUAUUUCCAAACAGAAAAGGAAGUGG